ACACUGAGCUGGCAAAUCAGAUGCACACGACUUGCCUGGCUGUGCUGCAUCCAAGCUCUGCCUUCCUGCAACUUGGCUCUCCCCUUGAAGUUCACUGCAGGCUCCUCCAGGAUGAUUGUUUUCAGUUCCAGAAGUUGAAGUGCAGCAGAUGAACACCCAAAUGAGGAUGAAUUUUAAAGGACCUAAGGACAUAUGCUCCCAAAAUUUCCUGGAUACCCAACAAAACUGAAUUACUAAUGGCUCACUUUUGGGUUGAUCAUGAGUCUUACCUGAACCUUUUUGUCUAUCUGGGUUAAUUAGGUAUUAUGUUUUCUCUUUUUCACCUAAAUAAAGAUUUUAUUAUGCCUCAAUA